rnacentral:rRNA from 1 species
AGGGUUUGAUCUUGGCUCAGAACGAACGCUGGCGGCGUGGAUUAGGCAUGCAAGUCGAACGAGGAUAUAUCCUUCGGGAUAUAAGCCGAGUGGCACAAGGGUGAGCAAUGCAUAGAUUACCUACCUUUAGGAUAAGGGCAACUUUGUGAAAACGGAGCUAAUACUUAAUAAUACAAAAGAAAAUAAUUUUCUUUUGUCAAAGGGAGGGUAGCAAUACCUUUCGCCUAGAGAGGGGUUUAUGUCCUAUCAGCUUGUUGGUGGGGUAAUAGCCUACCAAGGCGAAGACGGGUAGCCGGUUUAAGAGGAUGGUCGGCCACACUGGGACUGAGACACUGCCCAGACUUCUACGGAAGGCUGCAGUCGAGAAUCUUUCGCAAUGCCCGAAAGGGUGACGAAGCGACGCCGCGUGGGUGAAGAAGGCCUUCGGGUUGUAAAGCCCUGUCAGGAGUUAUGAAAUGUAAGUGCGCUAAUAUCGUGCUUAUUUGACAAAGGCUCCAAAGGAAGCCACGGCUAACUCUGUGCCAGCAGCCGCGGUAAUACAGAGGUGGCGAGCGUUGUUCGGAAUUAUUGGGCGUAAAGAGCACGUAGGUGGGUUUGCAAGUCAGAUGUGAAAGCCUUCUGUUCAACGGAAGAAUUGCAUCUGAAACUGCUAAUCUUGAGUAUAGGAGGGGAGAAUGGAACUUCUGGUGGAGCGGUGAAAUGCGUAGAUAUCAGAAGGAACGCCGGCGGCGAAAGCGAUUCUCUGGCCUAUUACUGACACUCAGUGUGCGAAAGCUAGGGGAGCAAACGGGAUUAGAUACCCCGGUAGUCCUAGCCGUAAACGAUGGGCACUAAGUAGAGGGAAUUACCUAUAUUCUCUCUGCCGUAGCUAACGCAUUAAGUGCCCCGCCUGGGGAGUACGGCCGCAAGGCUAAAACUCAAAGGAAUUGACGGGGGCCCGCACAAGCGGCGGAGCAUGUUGCUUAAUUCGAGGCAACGCGAAGAACCUUACCUGGGUUUGACAUGUAGGGAAAAGCCAUAGAGAUAUGGUGUCCUUAGGGGCCUUACACAGGUGGUGCAUGGCUGUCGUCAGCUCGUGUCGUGAGAUGUUGGGUUAAGUCCCGCAACGAGCGCAACCCUUGUCCUAUGUUGCCAGCGGGUAAUGCCGGGGACUCGUAGGAGACUGCCGGGGUCAACUCGGAGGAAGGUGGGGACGACGUCAAGUCAUCAUGCCCCUUAUAUCCAGGGCUGCAAACAUGCUACAAUGGCCGGUACAGAGGGCUGCGAGACCGCGAGGUUGAGCGAAUCCCACAAAGCCGGUCUCAGUUCGGAUUGGAGUCUGCAACUCGACUCCAUGAAGGCGGAGUCGCUAGUAAUCCCGGAUCAGCAACGCCGGGGUGAAUACGUUCCCGGGCCUUGUACACACCGCCCGUCACACCACGAAAGUCGGCAACACCCGAAGUCAGUGGCCUAACUCUUUUAGAGAAGGAGCUGCCGAAGGUGGGGUUGGUGAUUGGGGUGAAGUCGUAACAAGGUAGCCGUACCGGAAGGUGCGGCUG